rnacentral:rRNA from 1 species
CAGUCGCCACGGUAAAACGUAGGGUGCGAGCGUUAAUCGGAAUUACUGGGCGUAAAGCGUGCGCAGGCGGUUCGUUAAGACAGAUGUGAAAUCCCCGGGCUUAACCUGGGAACUGCAUUUGUGACUGGCGAGCUAGAGUAUGGCAGAGGGGGGUAGAAUUCCACGUGUAGCAGUGAAAUGCGUAGAGAUGUGGAGGAAUACCGAUGGCGAAGGCAGCCCCCUGGGCCAAUACUGACGCUCAUGCACGAAAGCGUGGGGAGCAAACAGGAUUAGAUACCCGCGUAGUCCCUGUCUCUUAUAA